CUCACUUAUUAAACUUCAAUACGAAUUGCACUAUAGUUUUUAAUAUUCUAGACACAGUCUGUUGUCCUCGUCUAGUUAGGUUUUACAGCGAGCAAACUUUACACACUGUCGAAUGUACCAGUCAAUAUCUCUGGGAUACAGUAGUAGGUAUCCAGCUGCAUGGUUCUUUCUUCAUUGUAUUUGUCCUCGCAAAGAAACAGUGCACAAAGUUACAGGUUAAGGGACAUACUGAACAAUAUCCUUCCUUCAUUUCUUUCUAUACUGAGAUUUUUAUAUUAUAGGAUAAGUAAAGCACCCAACAUGAAAUAAUUAAUAUUGAAAUUCAUUAAUAUUUUGAUUAGGACAUCUCUUGCAGUUGAGAAAAAGAAUUUAGCUGUAUUUAGCUUGACAUUGCAUCAGUACAAAUAUUCUAUCGAGGUUAUAGCCUUGUUUGCUUUCUCUUCUGGUUGUAAUACCAAAUUGAUGCUUAUUUGCAAGUCUGAGUGGUGACUACUAUUUAAAUUCCUGAAAGUUAAAACUAUGUUGGUGUUUAAGUUGUAAACAGUUGAGGUAUUAACAGUAUGCUGCCUAUUCAUAUUUUAUAAUAUGUCCAAAUAUUUCAAUGCUCAGAACUACAACAAGUGUUACUCAUGUAAAUUAAUCAAAACUGAGAACUUAGGUGUGGCCGUAUUUUUCAUAUGCAGGAACUGCUUGACUUAGGUGAGACAGUUGGAACUCAAAGUCGUGGUCUUUCCCAAGAGAAUAUUUCCUUGCUCCCAAUCUCGAAGUUCAAGUGUGGGUUUUUUUCUAGAAGAAAAUCUAGAAGAGAAAGGUGUGUGAUUUGCCAGAUGGAGUAUAAACGCGGUGACCAACAGAUUAACCUUCCAUGUAAACAUAUCUAUCAUUCUGGUUGCGGCAGCAGAUGGCUUAGUAUCAACAAGGCUUGCCCCAUUUGUUACAAGGAGGUCUUUGCCAAUGCAUCAAAGCAGUCAGCAAAGUAGUAAGCAGAAAAGGGGAUGCUUCCAUUGCUCAGUUUGUGUUUCUCUUUUAGGUUCUUACUUUCUCUUCCUUUGUUAUAUUCUUCUAUACAGAAAAUUUCUUUUACUUGAUUUGCCUUUGUAGUUUGUAUUAGUUUUUAUCAAAAAGAUGUCAGGAAUUUCACAGAGUUGAUAUACAUGUAACUUUAGUUUGAUAUUAUAGAAAUUUGCUCUUAAUCAUUUCAGUGCUUGGAAACGUGGCAAGAUGUAUUGAUGUCACCUUUGGUGGUGCUACCAUGCGUGAUUGGGUUAACUAAUACAGUAUCUCAUAGUAUUCUGUUCUGUCGUUUGUUUUGGUCUGUAAGAGUAACGGGCGAAAAGCUUUAAAAUGGUGAUAUCCUUAAAAUUCCUCUACUUCAUAUCAACAUGCUUUUAUUAGAGACAUCAAAUCGAAUCUAUUACAAUUCCACAGACAGAGAGAUGCUGACCACACUAAACUCGAAAGAUCCUAAAAUGCAUCAUACAACGUAAUAAUAACAAAAGGUAAAUAAUUUGAUGCGACGAUGUUCAUAUUUAUUUAGUUAGCAGCAUAGAAUCACAAACACUGCAUUUAUUCGUAAUCGACUUGGCUCUUAGUACAUCAUAAGUAGUAACCGUGAAUCAAAAUCAGAAGAUGCAUGCAUGGCAGGCGGGGCAUUGAUA